rnacentral:lncRNA from 1 species
CUAGCUGGCCUAGUUCUCGUUCAUGAGAGUAUAAGUGAGCCUCACCGCGCGAAUGAAGGCCUAGGUGCAACGUUCAAAAUUACAAAAUCAGAAACACUCUCAGAGAAAUUUAAACAAUAUCUUGGACCAGCAGCGGAGAAAGACAUCAUGGUGAAAAUGAACGACAUAAAGUGGCCAAAAAGUGUACCGAAAGAAUUCGACCUUCGGAAAGAGCACCCGGAAUGCGCUGACUUAUUCAGCCAAGCUCAGGAUGAAGGUGCAUGUGACACAGAUGCGCCGGCGAUCGUCUCUUCCAUUCUCGCGGACAAGUAUUGCAUCCAGGCGGGAGGUAAAAAGAAGGAGCAGUUUUCUGCCGACUUCCUCGUGCGCUGCGCUGAAAAGUGCAGGGAAACAGCAUGGAUUGCGAUGUCCUGGAUCUGGGCCUGGAAUUACGGAGUGCCCACUGGUGGAGAUUACAACUCGGAUAUUGGAUGCCAGCCAUAUCUUACAAGCCAUGCAAGCACACGCUAGAAAAAUACAUCGCCAAAAAGAUGAGAGUUAUGAGCAGUAAGUCGGACGUCGAUAGGAGGGACGGAUUGGAGGAAUGCAGGCACGCAUACUCUAAAGUGAAGCAGAACAAAUGCACUGUAAAGUGCACCAACACCAAUUACGAAUACAAAGACAUGAAAAAACCGCACUGUUCGAUUCCAGGAUUGGUACUUCCUACCAGAAAACGACGAAGAGGCAAUGAAGAAAGAGAUAAUAGCACGUGGAUCUAUUGCUGUAGGCUUCACAUUGUACGAUGAUUUCUUCAAGUACAAAAAAGGAAUUUACCGAGUCUCAAAGGGCGCAGAAGAGGCCGCUACGUGGAAACACGCAAAAGUGAUCGGUUGGGGAGAGGAAAAAGGGCAAAAAUACUGGCUGGCAGUGAAUACCUGGUCCAACUUCAAUGGCGGGAACAAAAUAAUCAAGUUCGGAAUAGAUCAAGCCAACAUCCAAGAAUACGUCACAUCAGGACAUCUUUUCGAAGAUGUUCACCCCGAUGAUGAAAAUGACGAUUCUCAAGAAGAAUUUUCAGCGCGCAUCUAAAGACCAAAUUGUUGAGAGAGCAGAUCGUCACUAGCUGAAAUACGCGUCAUAUUACACUUUAGCAUUCAAUGAAAUAUUGUAGUAGUCCACAGUUAGCUUUUCAACGGUGUAACACGUGUAAAAAUACAAUUUUACAUUAUAAUUCCGGCGUUUUCCUUUCCACUCUCUACGUAAAAUGUUUGUUGUCAAUAUCAGCACCUCAACAAAGCUUGGCAUCUGAGGACAAGAUUCUUGGUACUGGC